rnacentral:tRNA from 1 species
AAGAGGCAAGUACAUGGUUGGUGUGCGACUAGCUUGAAAUUAGAAAGGGGGGGUUCGAGUCCCUCGUCUCUUG